GUGGGGGGGGGGCGGUGGGGAACAGAGACGCCAGGGCGCAUGCGCGGAGGGAACGACUCCGGCAUAAGGAAGGAGGCAGAAGAGUCAAAUAUAGCCCAUCCACCAGGACUGGAAAGUGGCAGGAUCAUCCUGAACUGGCUAUGAGGAAGCACUGGUGCCUGGCACAGGUCGUCUCCUGAAGAAUCAGGACCUCUGCUUCAAGCUGAUUACACAUCAUGCAGUCUGCCAGCACAUGAUGCCCAGCACUAUCGCUCAAUUGUUACUGUGGAAAUUGUAGACUUGGAUUCUGCUUUUGGCUGAAGAAGGUUAGACUGCAGAGGGAAUACUCGGAAUUACCUGACAGCUAUCACACAUACGCUGGAUUACUGAAGCAUGUAGGUGAUCGGCGUUUCCGAUGGGCACCAGUAAAAGGGAGGAAGGAACCUUGUUUUGGGAAAGGAUAUAUCCACCCUCAGAGGAAUCGCCAAAGGCUUGAGGCCCAAAUGCUGUCCUCCUGCGCUGUACAAAGUGAGGAAGAUACCAUUGGUGAUUAUUCCCUUGGGCUGAACUGAGGAUGAGCAACAAAAUCUGAGGAACACGUCCUGAAAAGAGGUGCCACUGCACAGCAUGCUUAUGCAUAGACAGAACUGAUCCCCUUCUUACCACCACCAUGUCACUGCUUUGAGAUAUGAGCAGAGGACCCCUAUGGAU